UGGAUGAGCCCGCGGCCUAUCAGCUUGUUGGUGGGGUAAUGGCCCACCAAGGCGACGACGGGUAGCCGGCCUGAGAGGGUGACCGGCCACACUGGGACUGAGAUACGGCCCAGACUCCUACGGGAGGCAGCAGUGGGGAAUAUUGCACAAUGGGCGCAAGCCUGAUGCAGCGACGCCGCGUGAGGGAUGACGGCCUUCCGUUUGUAAACCUCUUUGGCCACGGACGAAGCGAAAGAGCGGUACAUACCCCGUCACAGCCCCGCCCUACAACUGGU
rnacentral:rRNA from 1 species